UACGUAGGGUGCAAGCGUUGUCCGGAAUUAUUGGGCGUAAAGAGCGUGUAGGCGGCCCGAUUAGUCCGCUGUGAAAGUCCAGGGCUCAACCCUGGAAUGCCGGUGGAUACUGUCGGGCUAGAGUCCGGAAGGGGCGAGUGGAAUUCCUGGUGUAGCGGUGAAAUGCGUAGAUAUCGGGAGGAACACCAGUGGCGAAGGCGAUCUUCUGGACGGAUACUGACGCUGAGGCGCGAAAGCUAGGGGAGCAACGGG
rnacentral:rRNA from 1 species